rnacentral:rRNA from 1 species
UACGUAGGUGGCAAGCGUUGUCCGGAAUUACUGGGCGUAAAGCGUGCGCAGGCGGUUGGCAAAGUCAGCUGUGAAAGCCCCGGGCUCAACCUGGGAAUUGCGGUUGAAACUAGUCGACUAGAAUCUGGCAGAGGGGGGUGGAAUUCCACGUGUAGCAGUGAAAUGCGUAGAGAUGUGGAGGAACACCGAUGGCGAAGGCAGCCCCCUGGGCUGAGAUUGACGCUCAGGCACGAAAGCGUGGGGAGCAAACAGG